GUUGGGGGUGGAGCUUGUGUGGAGGAUGGGAGGGCAGGCUCAGAUGGGAUUUUCUCAUCUACUGCUCCAGUUCACAUACUGCGAGGUACUAGCUUUGAUGAGAUCUGGUUUUCUGGAAAAAAAAAAAAGGGAGAAGGAACUCAGUGAAUAUUGCCCUGGGUCCUGGUAAUUCCACCUACUGAAGACAACUGCCCCUUCUGCUCAUAUUUCCUGAGUCAACAUGGCCGUUCCUAACUUUGAAGAGACUUUAGACAUUCUUUGUUACAAUGAACCUAGAAGAAAGAAGAGAAAUAAUAACUGCCAUGGAAGGAUGCUCCUCCUGCCAAUUGGCACUUAUCAAUGACAUCGAGGGAGAGGGACAGAGUGCCUAGGUAUGAGCCUUCAUCAAGUGGUAUGAAGGCCCUACCCCAACAGAAAGUGCUGAUGUGAUGAAAUGGUGCUUUGGACAAGACUUUUCCUCCAAGUUGGUCCUAUCCAGGGGUUGGCAAACAGGGUCCCUGGACAUCAUCCAUGUGGCAUACUCUUAUGAAUAAAGUUCUAUAGGACACAGACCUGC
rnacentral:lncRNA from 1 species